rnacentral:rRNA from 1 species
GAUGAACGCUGGCGGUGCGCCUAACACAUGCAAGUCGAACGUGAUUACCUAGAAUUUAUUCUUAGUAUGAAAGUGGCGAACGAGUGAGUAACACGUAGGAAUCUGCCCCGAACUCAGGGAUAACGCGAUGAAAGUCGUGCUAAUACCGGAUGGUCUCGUAAGAGUAAAGCUUUUGCGGUUCGGGAGGAGCCUGCGGUCUAUCAGCUAGUUGGUGAGGUAAAAGCUCACCAAGGCUACGACGGAUAGCUGGUCUGAGAGGAUGACCAGUCACGAUGGGACUGAGACACGGCCCAUACUCCUACGGGAGGCAGCAGUGAGGAAUCUUCCGCAAUGGACGAAAGUCUGACGGAGCGACACCGCGUGAAGGAUGAAGGCCUAUGGGUCGUAAACUUCUUUUCUGAGGGAAGAAGAUCUGACGGUACCUCAGGAAUAAGCCCCGGCUAAUUACG